UAGCCUCUGUUGAAGCUGCCAGCAUGAUCUAAACUUUCCUUUUUUUGUAGAGGAAAGAACAGAUCAUGUGGUAGCUUCAUCCGAUUCUGGUUG
rnacentral:pre_miRNA from 1 species